rnacentral:rRNA from 1 species
UACGAAGGGGGCGAGCGUUGUUCGGAAUUACUGGGCGUAAAGGGCGCGUAGGCGGCCGAUCAAGUCAGAUGUGAAAGUCCUGGGCUUAACCUGGGGACUGCAUUUGAUACUGAUUGGCUUGAAUGCAGGAGAGGAUAGCGGAAUUCCCAGUGUAGAGGUGAAAUUCGUAGAUAUUGGGAAGAACACCGGUGGCGAAGGCGACACACUGGCCCGUUACUGACGCUGAGGCGCGAAAGCGUGGGGAGCAAACAGG